rnacentral:rRNA from 1 species
GACGCACGCUGGCGGCGUGCUUAACACAUGCAAGUCGAACGGAAAGGCCCUGCUUUUGUGGCGUGCUCGAGUGGCGACCGGGUGAGUAACACGUGAGUAACCUUCCCUUGACGUUGCGAUAACUUCAGGAAACUUGGGCUACUACCGGAUAGGAGCUCCUGCGGCAUGGUGGGUGUUGGACCGUUUCGGCGGUUGGGGAUGGACUCGCGGCUUAUCAGCGUGUUGGUGGGGUAGUGGCUGACCAAGGCCUCGACGGGUAGCCGGCCUGAGAGGGUGACCGGCCACAUGGGGACUGAGAUACGGCCCAGACUCCUACGGGAGGCAGCAGUGGGGAAUAUUGCACAAUGGGCGGAAGCCUGAUGCAGCAACGCCGCGUGCGGGAUGACGGCCUUCGGGUUGUAAACCGCUUUCGCCUGUGACGAAGCGUGAGUGACGGUAAUGGGUAAAGAAGCACCGGCUAACUACGUG